rnacentral:rRNA from 1 species
ACGCACGCUGGCGGCGUGCUUAACCCAUGCAAGUCGUACGGAAAGGCCCUGCUUUUGUGGGGUGCUCGAGUGGCGAACGGGUGAGUAACACGUGAGUAACCUGCCCUUGACUUUGGGAUAACUUCAGGAAACUGGGGCUAAUACCGGAUAGGAGCUCCUGCUGCAUGGUGGGGGUUGGAAAGUUUCGGCGGCUGGGGAUGGACUCGCGGCUUAUCAGCUUGUUGGUGGGGUAGUGGCUUACCAAGGCUUUGCCGGGUAGCCGGCCUGAGAGGGUGAACGGCGACAUUGGGACUGAGAUACGGCCCAGACUCCUACGGGAGGCAGCAGUGGGGAAUAUUGCACAAUGGGCGGAAGCCUGAUGCAGCAACGCCGCGUGCGGGAUGAAGGCCUUCGGGUUGUAAACCGCUUUCGCCUGUGACGAAGCGUGAGUGACGGUAAUGGGUAAAGAAGCACCGGCUAACUACGUG